rnacentral:rRNA from 1 species
UAAAAUAAUUAAGGGCACACAAAGGAUGCCUAGGUAGUAAGAGCCGAUGAAGGACGUGGUAAGCUGCGAUAAGCCUAGAUAAGUUGCAAUCGAACGUAAGAGUCUAGGAUUUCCGAAUGGAGCAAUCUAUUAAGAUGGAGUCUUAAUACGAAAGAGGGAACCGCGUGAACUGAAACAUCUAAGUAACGCGAGGAAAAGAAAGUAAAAACGAUACCCAAAGUAGCGGCGAGCGAAAUGGGUCAAGCCUAAACCUUAAAUAUGUCAAGGAUACAGCCGUUGUAUUUAGGGGGUUGAGGGACAGAGUAGUGAAGAACUGUAAGAUAUUCAAUAUAGUGUAUUGAUGAAUUGGAAUUGUCUGGAAAGGCGAACCGUAGAAGGUGAAAGUCCUGUACAAGUAAAUCCUUACACAUAUAACUCUGCUCCCAAGUAACAUGGAACACGAGGAAUUCUGUGUGAAUCUGUGAGGACCAUAUCUCAUAAGGCUAAAUACUCUUACUAACCGAUAGCGCAUAGUACCGUGAGGGAAAGGUGAAAAGAACCCCUGGAGGGGAGUGAAAUAGAACCUGAAAUUGUGUGCUUACAAGCGGUCAGAGCCAGCAAUGGUGAUGGCGUGCCUUUUGGAGAAUGAUCCUGCGAGUUACGUUAAACGGCGAGGUUAAGUAUAACGGAGCCGAAGGGAAACCAAGUCUUAAUAGGGCGAUUUAGUCGUUUGGCGUAGACGCGAAACCUGGUGAUCUAAACCUGUCCAGGAUGAAGCUGUGGUAAGACACAGUGGAGGUCCUAACCCACCGCCGUUGAAAAGUUGGGGGAUGAGGUAGGUUUAGGGGUGAAAAGCCAAUCGAACCAGGAGAUAGCUCGUUCUCUCCGAAAUGCAUCUAGGUGCAGCCUUGAGUGUUCAAUUAUGGGGGUAGAGCACUGAAUGAUCUAGGGGGCGUAUUGCUUACUGAAAUCAAUCAAACUCCGAAUACCAUAAUUUAGAGCUCAGGAGUGAGACUAUGGGAGUUAACUUCCAUUGUCGAAAGGGAAACAACCCAGACCACCAGCUAAGGUCCCUAAUUAUAACUAAGUGGGAAAGGAGGUGGAGAUUCACAAACAACUAGGAGGUUGGCUUAGAAGCAGCCAUACCUUUAAAGAGUGCGUAAUAGCUCACUAGUCGAGAGUCUCUGCGCCGACAAUGUAACGGGGCUAAGUUAUAAACCGAAGCUGUGGAAUCCGUAAGGAUUGGUAGGAGAGCGUUCUGUAGGCCGUUGAAGGAGAAGGGUAACCGACUCUGGAGGUAUCAGAAGUGAGAAUGCAGGAAUAAGUAGCGAGAAAGGGGGCGAGAAUCCCCCUCGCCGGAAGACCAAGGUUUUCAGGGUAAAGCUUGUCUUCCCUGAGUAAGCCGGGACCUAAGCCCAGGCUAUAAUGCGUAGGCGAAUGGAAAACAGAUUAAUAUUUCUGUGCCAGUCAUAUAUUGUGAUGGAGGGACGCAGAAGGGUAUGCGCGCGGACGAACGGAAGUGUCCGUAGAAGUAUGUAGGAUGACUUGAUAGGAAAAUCCAUUGAGUUAUAUCUGAGGUAUGAUAUACAGUCGUAAGAUGAAUGUGCAAAUCCCACGCUGCCAAGAAAAGCUUCUAACGUUAAUAUUUGACUGCCCGUACUGCAAACCGACACAGGUGGUCAGGAUGAGAAAUCUAAGGCGGACAGGCUAACUCUCGUUAAGGAACUCUGCAAAAUAACCUCGUAACUUCGGGAGAAGAGGAGCCCUUGAGGGUCAGUAUCCACGCGAUACAAAGCGCUCGAGGGUCGCAGUGAAGAGGCUCAAGCAACUGUUUAACAAAAACACAGGUCUAUGCUAAGCUGGAAGGCGAUGUAUAUGGGCUGACACCUGCCCAGUGCUGGAAGGUUAAGAGGAGGAGUGAGAGCUCCGAAUUGAAGCCCCAGUGAACGGCGGCCGUAACUAUAACGGUCCUAAGGUAGCGAAAUUCCUUGUC